rnacentral:rRNA from 1 species
GACGAACGCUGGCGGCGUGCUUAACACAUGCAAGUCGAGCGGAGCGGCGCACGGGUGAGUAACGCGUGAGUAACUGCCCCCCUCUCUGGGAUAACAGUUGGCAACGGCUGCUAAUACCGGAUAGUGGGGGAUGCCUCGCUUCCUAGACGCUUGUUGGUGGGGUAGUGGCCUCCCAAGGCGACGACGGGUAGCCGGCCUGAGAGGGCGACCGGCCACAAUGGGCUGAGAGACGGCGCAAACGCCUACGGGAGGCAGCAGUGGGGAAUAUUGCACAAUGGGGGAAACCCUGAUGCAGCGGCGCCGGGUGCGGGAUGACGGCCUUCGGGUUGUAAACCGCUUUCAGCCAUGACGCGGUAGUGGCAGAAGAAGCACCGGCUAACUACGUGCCAGCAGCCGCGGUAAUAC